UACGUAGGGGGCAAGCGUUGUCCGGAAUCAUUGGGCGUAAAGAGCGUAUAGGCGGCCAGAAAAGUCCGCUGUGAAAACUCGAGGCUCAACUUCGAGCUGUCGGUGGAAACUUUCUGGCUAGAGUCCGGAAGAGGAGAAUGGAAUUCCUGGUGUAGCGGUGAAAUGCGCAGAUAUCAGGAGGAACACCAAUGGCGAAGGCAGCUCGCUGGGACGUGACUGACGCUGAGACGCGAAAGCGUGGGGAGCAAACAGG
rnacentral:rRNA from 1 species